GCCUGCGAUGUUCCCAGGCACGAUUUUUAUUUAUAGAUAUUGGAAGUGACUGAAUCAUCCAGAGAUGCAGGAAGUAUUGAGGGUCUAGGACACAGAGACAAUAAUAUCUCUGUCUUGUGAUGUUGCUUCCUUUGCCUUCUUUUUUGGCAUGAGAAAACAGAAAUCUCAUCCUUUGACCCGGAAACUACAAAAAUAUUCCUUGGGAAAGAGCAGGAUUGAAAGAAUUGGCUGCUUAUCCUCUGCCUUCAAAUCUAUCAGCAGAACCCCCUCCACUCCCCUGCCCCACCCCCAACCCCCUCCACUGGCAGAAAGUAAAGGAAAACCAGCUGGAAUGGAAGCCCAGGGAGAGUGUUUGCAGACUUCAGCCCUCUGCAGUACACAGGGAAUCUUUUGGACAGUCAACAAAGAAGUCUUGGCAGGUAAUUUCGAGAAAGACUGAAAAGGUUUCUCCCCUUUUGUAUCUGCUGAUCUUAUCUCUUGCAGAUUCAGCUCAAAAGCAAUCAAUUUAAAAACAAUUGGAGCUGCCGCUACUACCCAAAGUCUUAUGCAAAGUGCCCUACCAGCUACUUUGUAUUCAUUAUCUCAAAUUCUCAUAACAACCCAGGGACAGUCUCUUGAAAAUACCCAUUAUAUAGAAAACUGUGACUCAGAGACAUUAAGUCACUGCUCCAAGGUCAAAUAGCUCUUAAGUGGCAAACUGCAUAGACAAUCUCUAUUUCAUUUGCCAUCAGAUUCUGCUCUGUUUUUAUAACUCUGGUAGCUCUUACCUAAUCAGAAAUUGAUCUUUUUUUAAUUUCCUAAAGUCAUCACAAGGGUAGUUCAUCCUAAAAUGUGUAAACAAACAGACGCAAAACCAAGGCCACAGAAGAGCAUUCUCAAAUCCAGUUAUUUGCCUCCCUCCUUCCUCUUUCCCUGGUGACGUUAAACUAACGUACUCUUGUAGAGUACAUCUUCUCAAGCAGAUAGAUAAGAUAUUGAAGGAACAGAGGAGGGACACUGGAUGUGUUGGAGGAUCCCAGAGUUAUGUGCCAGAGGAGGACUCAGCAUGAGGGUCAAAGACUGGACGAGAGUGUGCGAAGAAGCCUUGCCAUCGAAGAGUGAAGGCCCCCCUGUGAAACCCCGCAGGGGUGGGCAUUUUUGGUUUCAUGUAUUUGUACCGUGUGAGGAGAAGGGCUGAGUGGGCCAUGUGAAUGGUGCUUUAUCAUGGGCUAUUGUGACUGCUUUAGAAGGAGGCUAAGAAUGAAAGAAAUGUAUAUAAUGCAUGAGCUAAGGCUCUGAUUAAAAGGGGUGGAAUAUUUGUGUUUCAUGUGGGUGAAAGAAGUGUGGGCCUUUUUUUCUUUAACUUAGGAAUCCAUCGCUGUCAUUGGGGGAGGCUGGUUCAGCUGAGAACUUCAGAUUUUUGUCCCCUUUUAAUCUCAGUGUCCCUCUCUGGAAAUGGCAGCAUUCAUUCCAUUUCUUCCAUUUAAUCUAUACAACAUUAUUAAUCUCUUUCUAGCUAUAAAGUAUUGUGGGGUUAUUAAGUUGGGUAGGGCAUCUUUCCCAUCCUCAAGGAGCUUACGAUUUAGAAGUGGAGGAAAAGGAGAAAGACUCAAAGAGUUAUGGUGCAAAAAUAAGUAGGUAAAUAAACAAAGAAAUAGUCUUAAGAAUGGAGAAUGC
ensembl:lncRNA